rnacentral:rRNA from 1 species
AGAUUGAACGCUGGCGGCAUGCCUAACACAUGCAAGUCGAACGGGAGUAGCAAUACUCUAGUGGCGGACGGGUGAGGAAUACGUAGGAAUUUGCCCUUAAGUGGGGGAUAACCCGGGGAACCCGGAUUAAUACCGCAUGACCUCGAAAGAGCAAAGUGGGGGAUCGCAAGACCUCACGCUUUUGGAGAAGCCUACGUCGGAUUAGCUAGUUGGUGAGGUAAUGGCUCACCAAGGCGACGAUCCGUAACUGGUCUGAGAGGAUGAUCAGUCACACCGGAACUGAGACACGGUCCGACUCCUACGGGAGCAGCGAGUGGGGAAUAGUUGGACAAGUGGGCGCAAGUCCUGAUCCAGCAAUGCCGUCGUCGUGUGAAAGAGGUCCCGUU